rnacentral:rRNA from 1 species
GACGAACGCUGGCGGCGUGCUUAACACAUGCAAGUCGAACGGAAAGGCCCUGCUUUUGUGGGGUGCUCGAGUGUCGAACGGGUGAGUAACACGUGAGUAACCUGCCCUUGACUUUGGGAUAACUUCAGUAAACUGGGUCUCAUACCGGAUAUGAGCUCCUGCUGCAUGUUGGGGGUUUGAAAGUUUCGGCGUUUGGGGAUGGACUCGCGGCUUAUCAGCUUGUUGGUGGGGUAGUGGCUUACCAAGGCUUUGACGGGUAGCCGGCCUGAGAGGGUGACCGGCCACAUUGGGACUGAGAUACGGCCCAGACUCAUACGGGAGGAAGCAGGGGGGAAUAUUGCAAAAUGGGCGGAAGCCUGAAGCAGCAACGCCGCGUGCGGGAUGACGGCCUUAGGGCUGUAAACCGCUUUCGCCUGUGACGAAGCGUGAGUGACGGUAAUGGGUAAAGAAGCAACGGCUAACUACGUG